rnacentral:rRNA from 1 species
ACGGAAGGCAGCAGUAGGGAAUAUUGCACAAUGGGGGAAACCCUGAUGCAGCAACGCCACGUGUGGGAAGAAGCAUUUCGGUGUGUAAACCACUGUCGUGAGGGAAUAAUGCUUGGUUUCGGCCAAGUUGAAUGUACCUCGAAAGGAAGCACCGGCAAACUUCGUGCCAGAAGCCGCGGUAAUACGAGGGGUGCAAGCGUUGUUCGGAAUCACUGGGCGUAAAGGGAGCGCAGGCGGAGAUGCAAGCAGUCUGUACAAUACCGGGGCCCAACCCCGGACCUGCAGACUGGACUGUUUCUCUUGGAUAGUUCAGGGGCAAGCGGAAUUCCUGGUGUAGCGGUGGAAUGCGUAGAGAUCAGGAAGAACACCGAUGGCGAAGGCAGCUUGCUGGGGACUUAUCGACGCUCAUGCUCGAAAGUGCGGGUAGCAAACAGGAUUAGAUACCCUGGUA